CGUUACAAACGUCCGGUCUGAGAGCUUCCUCAUAUACCUCAAUCAUGUUUACAGCAGCGUGGUUCGGAAGAGGAUUGUCGAGGACAUGCGGGACGU
rnacentral:pre_miRNA from 1 species